GUGGGGGAUAUUGCACAAUGGGGGAAACCCUGAUGCAGCGACGCCGCGUGAAGGAAGACGUACUUCGGUAUGUAAACUUCUAUCAGCAGGGAAGAAGAUGACGGUACCUGACUAAGAAGCCCCGGCUAACUACGUGCCAGCAGCCGCGGUAAUACGUAGGGGGCAAGCGUUAUCCGGAUUUACUGGGUGUAAAGGGAGCGUAGACGGUGAAGCAAGUCUGAUGUGAAAACCCGGGGCUCAACUCCGGGAUUGCAUUGGAAACUGUUUUACUUGAGUGCUGGAGGGGCAAGCGGAAUUCCUGGUGUAGCGGUGAAAUGCGUAGAUAUCAGGAAGAACACCGGUGGCGAAGGCGGCUUGCUGGACAGUAACUGACGUUGAGGCUCGAAAGCGUGGGGAGCAAACAGGAUUAGAAACCCGGGUAGUCC
rnacentral:rRNA from 1 species